rnacentral:rRNA from 1 species
GAGUAAUGUCUGGGAAACUGCCUGAUGGAGGGGGAUAACUACUGGAAACGGUAGCUAAUACCGCAUAACGUCGCAAGACCAAAGAGGGGGACCUUCGGGCCUCUUGCCAUCGGAUGUGCCCAGAUGGGAUUAGCUUGUUGGUGGGGUAACGGCUCACCAAGGCGACGAUCCCUAGCUGGUCUGAGAGGAUGACCAGCCACACUGGAACUGAGACACGGUCCAGACUCCUACGGGAGGCAGCAGUGGGGAAUAUUGCACAAUGGGCGCAAGCCUGAUGCAGCCAUGCCGCGUGUAUGAAGAAGGCCUUCGGGUUGUAAAGUACUUUCAGCGGGGAGGAAGGGAGUAAAGUUAAUACCUUUGCUCAUUGACGUUACCCGCAGAAGAAGCACCGGCUAACUCCGUGCCAGCAGCCGCGGUAAUACGGAGGGUGCAAGCGUUAAUCGGAAUUACUGGGCGUAAAGCGCACGCAGGCGGUUUGUUAAGUCAGAUGUGAAAUCCCCGGGCUCAACCUGGGAACUGCAU